GGGCGGUUAGCUCAGCCCGGUUAGAGCGCAUGGUCGACAUCCAUGAGGUCGGAGGUUCAAGUCCUCUACCGCCCA
rnacentral:tRNA from 1 species